UACAGAGGUGGCAAGCGUUGUUCGGAAUUACUGGGCGUAAAGGGCGCGCAGGCGGCUGCUCAAGUCAGGCGUGAAAGGCCUGGGCUCAACCCGGGAAUUGCGCUUGAGACUGGGCUGGCUUGAGUGCGGGAGAGGAUGGUGGAAUUCCCAGUGUAGAGGUGAAAUUCGUAGAUAUUGGGAAGAACACCGGUGGCGAAGGCGGCCAUCUGGACCGCAACUGACGCUGAGGCGCGAAAGCCAGGGGAGCAAACGGG
rnacentral:rRNA from 1 species